rnacentral:misc_RNA from 1 species
AGGCAUUCCAAUAAGAAUCUCGUUGCCAUAUUCGAGAGCAAGAACCCGCAAAGCCUGAGUUAUGAAGUGCAGGGGCAGCCAAGUUACCAACAACAAGAUUUAGAAGUUGCACCAUGUAUCCCAGGGAAGUAGCAAGCUCUUCUGAUGGAACAGAAUGAGGAUCAAGUCCUCUAGGUAAGCGUGCAUUGCAUAUUUGAUCAUAUUGACCAUU